rnacentral:rRNA from 1 species
UACGGGAGGCAGCAGUGGGGAAUAUUGCACAAUGGGCGCAAGCCUGAUGCAGCCAUGCCGCGUGUAUGAAGAAGGCCUUCGGGUUGUAAAGUACUUUCAGUCGUGAGGAAGGUGUUAAGGUUAAUAACCUUAGCAAUUGACGUUAGCGACAGAAGAAGCACCGGCUAACUCCGUGCCAGCAGCCGCGGUAAUACGGAGGGUGCGAGCGUUAAUCGGAAUUACUGGGCGUAAAGGGCACGCAGGCGGUUAAUUAAGUUGGAUGUGAAAUCCCCGGGCUUAACCUGGGAAUGGCAUUCAAGACUGGUUAGCUAGAGUCUUGUAGAGGGGGUAGGAAUUCCAUGUGUAGCGGUGAAAUGCGUAGAGAUGUGGAGGAAAUACCGGUGGCGAAAGGCGGCCCCCUGGGCAAAAGACUGACGCUCAUGUGCGAAAAGCGUGGGGAGCAAAACAGGAUUAGAUACC